UCAGCCCUUUGUCGCUAAGAUUCG
rnacentral:snRNA from 1 species